rnacentral:rRNA from 2 species
GACGAACGCUGGCGGUGUGCUUAACACAUGCAAGUCGAACGGUAAGGCCCUUUCGGGGGUACACGAGUGGCGAACGGGUGAGUAACACGUGAGUAACCUGCCCUCAUCUCUGGGAUAACAGUCGGAAACGGUUGCUAAUACUGGAUAUGAGCUUGCAAGGCAUCUUGUGGGUUGGAAAGAUAUUUUUUGGUUGGGGAUGGACUCGCGGCCUAUCAGCUUGUUGGUGAGGUAGUGGCUCACCAAGGCUUCGACGGGUAGCCGGCCUGAGAGGGCGACCGGCCACAUUGGGAGUGAGAUACGGCCCAGACUCCUACGGUGAGGCAGCAGUGGGGAAUAUUGCACAAUGGAUGGGAAG